GAAAUGCGAUACUUGGUGUGAAUUGCAGAAUUCAGUGAAUCAUCGAAUCUUUGAACGCAUCUUGCGCUCCUUGGUAUUCUGAGGAGCAUGCCUGUUUGAGUGUCAUUAAACUCUCAACUACACUAAUAUUUAGUGUGGCUUGGAUUAUGGGGGUCUUUUUGCAGGCUUUAAAAAACAAUUGAAGUCAGCUCCCCUGAAAUGCAUUAGUGGUAUCUGAGCAGACUACAGGUGUGAUAACUAUCUAUACCUUUAGUUUUUAAACUGCAGAAAACAGAUUAUACUGCUUCAAACACAAAGUUGUUGUCUUUUUUUGACCUCAAAUCAGGUAGGACUACCCGCUGAACUUAA
rnacentral:misc_RNA from 1 species